rnacentral:rRNA from 2 species
ACCUUACUACUUGGAUAACCSUGGUAAUUCUAGAGCUAAUACAUGCUAAAAAUCCCGACUUCGGAAGGGAUGUAUUUAUUAGAUUAAAAACCAAUGCCCUCUGGGCUCCUUGGUGAUUCAUGAUAACUUCUCGAAUCGCACGGCCUUGCGCCGGCGAUGGUUCAUUCAAAUUUCUUCCCUAUCAACUUUCGAUGUUUGGGUAGUGGCCAAACAUGGUUGCAACGGGUAACGGAGGGUUAGGGCUCGACCCCGGAGAAGGAGCCUGAGAAACGGCUACUACAUCCAAGGAAGGCAGCAGGCGCGCAAAUUACCCAAUCCCGAUUCGGGGAGGUAGUGACAAUAAAUACUGAUACAGGGCUCUUUUGGGUCUUGUAAUUGGAAUGAGUACAAUUUAAAUCCCUUAACGAGGAACAAUUGGAGGGCAAGUCUGGUGCCAGCAGCCGCGGUAAUUCCAGCUCCAAUAGCGUAUAUUAAAGUUGUUGUGGUUAAAAAGCUCGUAGUUGA